GGGCUCUCGAUCAUCUCCAUCAGCAUCAUCAUUCCCAUCCUCAGGUGCUGGUUCUGUCAACCUUCACCAGAACCAGAGUUGCACCGCGCCACCAGCCCUAGAGGUCCAAGUUCUGUCAUCCUCUUCUGUAGCCCUUCCAACACAAUCGACCCCAACCCAUGACAAGGGCUCUGUAUCAUCUCCAUCAGCAUCAUCAAUCCCAUCCUCAGGUGCUGGUUCUGUCAACCUUCACCAGAACCAUAGUUGCACCGCGCCGCCAGCCCCAGAGGUCCAAGUUCUGUCAUCCUCUUCUGUAGCCCUGCCAACACAAUCGACCCCAACCCAUGACAAGGGCUCUGCAUCAUCUCCAUCAGCAUC